GGAUUAGCUAGUUGGUGAGGUAAGGGCUCACCAAGGCGACGAUCCCUAGCUGGUCUGAGAGGAUGAUCAGCCACACUGGAACUGAGACACGGUCCAGACUCCUACGGGAGGCAGCAGUGGGGAAUAUUGCACAAUGGGCGCAAGCCUGAUGCAGCCAUGCCGCGUGUGUGAAGAAGGCCUUCGGGUUGUAAAGCACUUUCAGUCGUGAGGAAGGUAGUGUAGUUAAUAGCUGCAUUAUUUGACGUUAGCGACAGAAGAAGCACCGGCUAACUCCGUGCCAGCAGCCGCGGUAAUACGGAGGGUGCGAGCGUUAAUCGGAAUUACUGGGCGUAAAGCGCAUGCAGGUGGUUUGUUAAGUCAGAUGUGAAAGCCCGGGGCUCAACCUCGGAAUAGCAUUUGAAACUGGCAGACUAGAGUACUGUAGAGGGGGGUAGAAUUUCA
rnacentral:rRNA from 1 species